GUAGGGCUCUGAUUCUCUUCUGCAUCACACACUUGAAUAAGAACGCAAAGGUGAUUUCUGGUUGUCUCUGAAAGCUCGGGUAAAACGUAUUUGUCUUCUCUGAGUUCUCAUGCUAAAUAUUUGUAAGUGAUUUACUUAUACUUUCAUUUGGAAGUUCCAAGAUAAAUUAAGCCAGUGCACUAGAUUUAGGGACAUUGUGACUGUAUAUAACCUGCUAAA
rnacentral:misc_RNA from 1 species